GCUGGCGGCGUGCCUAAUACAUGCAAGUCGAGCGAGCGGAACUAACAGAUUUACUUCGGUAAUGACGUUAGGAAAGCGAGCGGCGGAUGGGUGAGUAACACGUGGGGAACCUGCCCCAUAGUCUGGGAUACCACUUGGAAACAGGUGCUAAUACCGGAUAAGAAAGCAGAUCGCAUGAUCAGCUUUUAAAAGGCGGCGUAAGCUGUCGCUAUGGGAUGGCCCCGCGGUGCAUUAGCUAGUUGGUAAGGUAAAGGCUUACCAAGGCGAUGAUGCAUAGCCGAGUUGAGAGACUGAUCGGCCACAUUGGGACUGAGACACGGCCCAAACUCCUACGGGAGGCAGCAGUAGGGAAUCUUCCACAAUGGACGCAAGUCUGAUGGAGCAACGCCGCGUGAGUGAAGAAGGUUUUCGGAUCGUAAAGCUCUGUUGUUGGUGAAGAAGGAUAGAGGUAGUAACUGGCCUUUAUUUGACGGUAAUCAACCAGAAAGUCACGGCUAACUACGUGCCAGCAGCCGCGGUAAUACGUAGGUGGCAAGCGUUGUCCGGAUUUAUUGGGCGUAAAGCGAGCGCAGGCGGAAGAAUAAGUCUGAUGUGAAAGCCCUCGGCUUAACCGAGGAACUGCAUCGGAAACUGUUUUUCUUGAGUGCAGAAGAGGAGAGUGGAACUCCAUGUGUAGCGGUGGAAUGCGUAGAUAUAUGGAAGAACACCAGUGGCGAAGGCGGCUCUCUGGUCUGCAACUGACGCUGAGGCUCGAAAGCAUGGGUAGCGAACAGGAUUAGAUACCCUGGUAGUCCAUGCCGUAAACGAUGAGUGCUAAGUGUUGGGAGGUUUCCGCCUCUCAGUGCUGCAGCUAACGCAUUAAGCACUCCCGCCUGGGGAGUACGACCGCAAGGUUGAAACUCAAAGGAAUUGACGGGGGCCCGCACAAGCGGUGGAGCAUGUGGUUUAAUUCGAAGCAACGCGAAGAACCUUACCAGGUCUUGACAUCUAGUGUCAUUUGUAGAGAUACAAAGUUCCCUUCGGGGACGCUAAGACAGGUGGUGCAUGGCUGUCGUCAGCUCGUGUCGUGAGAUGUUGGGUUAAGUCCCGCAACGAGCGCAACCCUUGUUAUUAGUUGCCAGCAUUAAGUUGGGCACUCUAAUGAGACUGCCGGUGACAAACCGAAGGAAGGUGGGGAUGACGUCAAGUCAUCAUGCCCCUUAUGACCUGGGCUACACACGUGCUACAAUGGGCAGUACAACGAGAAGCGAGCCUGCGAAGGCAAGCGAAUCUCUGAAAGCUGUUCUCAGUUCGGACUGCAGUCUGCAACUCGACUGCACGAAGCUGGAAUCGCUAGUAAUCGCGGAUCAGCACGCCGCGGUGAAUACGUUCCCGGGCCUUGUACACACCGCCCGUCACACCAUGGGAGUCUGCAAUGCCCAAAGCCGGUGGCCUAACCUUCGGGAAGGAGCCGUCUAAGGCAGGGCAGAUA
rnacentral:rRNA from 1 species